rnacentral:rRNA from 1 species
AGAGUUUGAUCAUGGCUCAGAUUGAACGCUGGCGGCAGGCCUAACACAUGCAAGUCGAGCGGUAGCACAGAGAGCUUGCUCUCGGGUGACGAGCGGCGGACGGGUGAGUAAUGUCUGGGAAGCUGCCUGAUGGAGGGGGAUAACUACUGGAAACGGUAGCUAAUACCGCAUAACGUCGCAAGACCAAAGUGGGGGACCUUCGGGCCUCAUGCCAUCAGAUGUGCCCAGAUGGGAUUAGCUAGUAGGUGGGGUAACGGCUCACCUAGGCGACGAUCCCUAGCUGGUCUGAGAGGAUGACCAGCCACACUGGAACUGAGACACGGUCCAGACUCCUACGGGAGGCAGCAGUGGGGAAUAUUGCACAAUGGGCGCAAGCCUGAUGCAGCCAUGCCGCGUGUGUGAAGAAGGCCUUCGGGUUGUAAAGCACUUUCAGCGGGGAGGAAGGCGUUAAGGUUAAUAACCUUGGCGAUUGACGUUACCCGCAGAAGAAGCACCGGCUAACUCCGUGCCAGCAGCCGCGGUAAUACGGAGGGUGCAAGCGUUAAUCGGAAUUACUGGGCGUAAAGCGCACGCAGGCGGUCUGUCAAGUCGGAUGUGAAAUCCCCGGGCUCAACCUGGGAACUGCAUUCGAAACUGGCAGGCUAGAGUCUUGUAGAGGGGGGUAGAAUUCCAGGUGUAGCGGUGAAAUGCGUAGAGAUCUGGAGGAAUACCGGUGGCGAAGGCGGCCCCCUGGACAAAGACUGACGCUCAGGUGCGAAAGCGUGGGGAGCAAACAGGAUUAGAUACCCUGGUAGUCCGCGCCGUAAACGAUGUCGAUUUGGAGGUUGUGCCCUUGAGGCGUGGCUUCCGGAGCUAACGCGUUAAAUCGACCGCCUGGGGAGUACGGCCGCAAGGUUAAAACUCAAAUGAAUUGACGGGGGCCCGCACAAGCGGUGGAGCAUGUGGUUUAAUUCGAUGCAACGCGAAGAACCUUACCUGGUCUUGACAUCCACAGAACUUAGCAGAGAUGCUUUGGUGCCUUCGGGAACUGUGAGACAGGUGCUGCAUGGCUGUCGUCAGCUCGUGUUGUGAAAUGUUGGGUUAAGUCCCGCAACGAGCGCAACCCUUAUCCUUUGUUGCCAGCGGUUAGGCCGGGAACUCAAAGGAGACUGCCAGUGAUAAACUGGAGGAAGGUGGGGAUGACGUCAAGUCAUCAUGGCCCUUACGACCAGGGCUACACACGUGCUACAAUGGCAUAUACAAAGAGAAGCGACCUCGCGAGAGCAAGCGGACCUCAUAAAGUAUGUCGUAGUCCGGAUUGGAGUCUGCAACUCGACUCCAUGAAGUCGGAAUCGCUAGUAAUCGUAGAUCAGAAUGCUACGGUGAAUACGUUCCCGGGCCUUGUACACACCGCCCGUCACACCAUGGGAGUGGGUUGCAAAAGAAGUAGGUAGCUUAACCUUCGGGAGGGCGCUUACCACUUUGUGAUUCAUGACUGGGGUGAAGUCGUAACAAGGUAACCGU